rnacentral:rRNA from 1 species
GACGAACGCUGGCGGCGUGCUUAACACAUGCAAGUCGAACGGAAAGGCCCUGCGUUUGUGGGGUGCUCGAGUGGCGAAGGGGUGAGUAACACGUGAGUAACCUGCCCUUGACUUUGGGAUAACUUCAGGGAACUGGGGCUAAUAUCGGAUAGAAGCUCCUGCAGCAUGGUGGGGGUUAGAAAGUUUCGGCGGUUGGGGAUGGUCUCGCGGCUUAUCCGCUUGUUGGGGGGGUAGUGGUUUACCAAGCCUUUGAAGGGUAGCCGGCCUGGGAGGGGGAACGGCGACAUGGGGCCUGAGGGACGGCCCAGAAGGCUACGGGAGGCAGCAGGGGGGAAUAUUGCAGAAUGGGCCGAAGCCUGAUGCAGCAACGCCGCGUGCGGGAUGACGGCCUUCGGGUUGUAAACCGCUUUCGCCUGUGACGAAGCGUGAGUGACGGUAAUGGGUAAAGAAGCACCGGCUAACUACGUG